UACGGGGGGGGGCAAGCGUUGUUCGGAAUUACUGGGCGUAAAGGGCGCGUAGGCGGCCUACUAAGUCGGACGUGAAAUCCCUCGGCUCAACCGAGGAACUGCGUCCGAUACUGGCAGGCUGGAAUCCGGGAGAGGGAGGUAGAAUUCCAUGUGUAGCGGUGAAAUGCGUAGAUAUAUGGAGGAAUACCGGUGGCGAAGGCGGCCUCCUGGCUCGAUACUGACGCUGAGGUGCGAAAGCGUGGGGAUCAAACAGG
rnacentral:rRNA from 1 species